rnacentral:lncRNA from 1 species
GGCGAGCCCGCAGGAGAGGAUUAAGCCUCCCGAGGCCACGUCGCUCCUUGGGCGCCGGGUGGCCCGGGUCCCCGGCCGCCGCCUCCUUGUCCACCACCCCCUCCCCGCGCCUUCCCGGACGCGCCGCGUCGUGUCCUGGGGUUCCAGCGCCGCGGGCUCCCCGCGGACCUUGGGCUGCGCUGAGCUCGGGGCUCCCUUUUCUGCCGCCCGUGGCGAGUAGCUGGUGGGUAGGUCCUUCCUGUGAAGCGGGUCCCUACCGGGCUCCAGGAAAAGGGGGGCACUUGGAACGGGCCGCUUUCCUUCACUGACUCCCGUGCUGGCGCGCACAGCCCAGGGCUGGCCAAUUUCGCUGCCUGCGGGAAGGGCGCAUCUGCUGGAGCUAGCAGCGCGCUACGCGUUAGGGGACAAACCCGGAGUAGGACGGUUAGACCCAAAAGAAAUGGGUUUUUUUAUGACUUCGUUUUUGUGUUCUUUUUUUUCUUUCUUUCUUUCUUUUCUUUCUUUUUUUCUUUUUCUUGCUACCGUGUUGACCCUGUUACUCCCCAAUCUGAGCUCUCCAAAGACUUGGGGUGGGAGGAAAGGGGAGCUUGUCUCCCUAGCGGACAAUCGGGUUGGAAACGCAAAGGUCAAACGAAAAGGUAAAACGAAUUAACUCCGAGGUUGGUUCCUUUCCUCCCGACCCGUGAGGUCUCCUGUUCAAUUUUAAGUCUAGCAUGAAAGUGUUCUAAUCUAGAGUCAGAGUGCAGGACCCUAAAGUUUACGGGGGUGGGGUGGGGUUGUCCAUGUCUGUCUAUGGAUCUGUUGUCCACUCUUUUUUAAGGCAAAGGUGCACUGGGCCCUUAAACGGCUUGGUAAUUAUAAGCGCAACUUUACAAUAUUCUCUAGAGACUUUUAAAUCUUUUAGUAUGAAGGCGUGAGCAGGGAGGGUCUGUUGCAAAAGAAGAGUGGGGCGCCUACUUCCCUCCCCUGAGGUUAGCUUUCUAAUUUGUUUCCUCUGGGGAAGCCAUCUGGAGGAGAUGUUGGCUGCAUCUCACCGGUAACUUUUGCCAAUAAUUUCUUUCCUGAUUCCCCAAAAUCUACAGUCUUUCAGAGGCAGUUAUUAGGGGACACACAGAAUUCCCACACUUCUGCCGGAGCUUCUAGAGGGACUUUGAUCAGAGAGAGAGAGAGAGAGAGAGAGAGAGAGAGAGAGAGAGAGAGAGAGAGAGAGAGGCUACAAACAGAAUCGUAGAAGGGUUCAGCUUGUUUUUUUUUUUGUUUGUUUGUUUUGUUUUGUUUUGUUUUCCUCUUAGAAGAGCCAGAGGUUAGGGAACUCCUUUUUGUGUUUCUUCCACCAGAUCUAAACCAUGAUAAAACCUGUGAACCCCACCUAGGCCGCAGUGGCCGAGUUAGAAAGCCUGUGACUUUUCAGAGUACACACAGAGAGAAAAGAGGUUAAGAAGCAGGAGUGGGUUUUUCCCCCCUUUCUUGUUUUGCUGUUUUCUUUAAGAAGGCAGAUGGGAAUCUCUUCCCUUCCUGUUCUUUUUUUUUUUUUAAUUAUAAAUUAUUUUGAAGUCCGUGAGCAGGAUGGAAAGUUGUGUAGACUCCGGUUAACUUUACCGGUUGGUUGUGUUUUUUCCUUUCAACCCCGGUUUCUGCUCUCUGACAUCCUAUGUGUGGUAUCUUUUGUCAAGCUGCUUUUGCCAAGCCCAGAGAAGCAGUUCCCUCCGUACAAGGGCAUGCUACCCUUCUAUACAGCCAGGUUGACCAUGAUUUAAAAACAACAACAAACAACAACAAAGAUAAAUAGGGGAUCUGAACCAAUUCUAUUUCUUCACGCUAUGUUUAUAAUGUGGCAUCUAAAAGAAGCAUCAGUCUAGUGACUUGAGACCCACAAAGGACCCUCACUCUUCACCCUUCCAAACAUAUACAGGCAUUCACCAAAACAAUUAGUAAUGUUUUAAUUCAAACAACACAUUAUUACAAAGGGUCGUUGGUCAUAGCAAUUCCAAGUAGAAAAUCUAGCGUACAGUUUGGGAACAAACUUUCAAUGUGAGCAGGUCUUCCACAGCAUUCACGACACGUUUUCCUUUUUUUAGUUCAGGGCACUAUUGUAAACAGGCAUUCAUUCCCCUGGUUCUUAGACUGAUAAAAGCCAGGAUCCAUGCAAAAGCUACUCCACUCAGUGGAAGACGCUGGAGGGAACUCAGUAAUAGUAGGAUCGGGUGAUGAAAGUGCUCUGAAGAUCUGUGUGUUUGUGAUUAUACAAUUUGCAUAGAAAUCGAAGUUCCUGCUGCUGGCCACAAUGUUUCCCUUUACCCAGAGAUUCUCAUAUGACCACAGAUUUUUUUUCUCCUCCUCCCCUAGUUGAUUGCUAUGUGUGUAUUUAACACAUCAAGCGUAUCUGUAAAGUUGUCAGUGUUUUUUAUAGAAUACAUAAAACUGAUUACAUAAAAGUGAUUAGCAAUAUUUUUCCCCCUGAGCAUUUGAUUACAGGGGCGACCUCUUGUGUUCAAUGAGGGAUUAGACACUCUCCUGUCAAAAUUGGACUUCUUGUGACCUUUGUAUGCUGCUAGGUCAAAUAUCUGUCCUUCAAAACAGCAGGGGUGCGAAUCUGUAGUUUGAGCGCCUUCAUUUUGAAAAUGAAGUAAUGAAUGAAAUGCAUAAACUGUUUCUUCAUCCUCCCUCACCUAUAUAAGAUUCCAGUGUCUUUGUACCAUAGAGAUACCCGCUAAGCUUACUUAGUAAGUUUCUCUUGAGUCUGUAGUAUUUGCUUACAUGACUUGGAGCACAGUUCCUGGCGCAUGUUUGUUCCUCCUGAGCUCCCUGCUGGUCCAUUUAAGACCGUUCUGUUUAUCUGCUCCUGCUUUCUUAUUUCUGUUUAAUUAAGACGGAAACAUUCCACAUUAUAUUUAAAGUCAGACACAGAUCCCUGAACAUCAUGAAACCACACCAUUUUCC